rnacentral:tRNA from 1 species
GGCCCCAUCGUCUAGCCUGGUCCAGGACGCCGCCCUUUCAAGGCGGUAGCACGGGUUCAAAUCCCGUUGGGGCCACCA